UUGUCCAAUGGAGGCCGCCAUUUCUAUUGUUUAGCUGUCAAAAAAUGGUGAUUAUUUCCGUCACAAUCACAAGCGAUCGGUGCGCCCAUAAAACACCAACCGACACGAAAUAGACUGCGUUGAUAUCGAAUAAACCAUAAAUAAUUAGCACAUGUCGUAACCAGGUCUUCUGUUCAUAUUCAGACCAACUUUCUUCCUCUUCGUAUGAUUUUCGUUCCGGACAACAUGGCGAUAUCGCUCCGCAGUUAAUUUACAAAAAUGACAAUAUGUCCUGUCAUAGUUAUCACAACAAGUGUAUAAUUCCUUAAAUAAUAAAAUACUUUUGAUGCCGAAUUGAAUUUCACAAAUGUAGGAGUAUUACUACAGAAAAAGAAAUCAUAAUAUCCAGAUCGGACUGUUAAUGCGGCCUCACUUCCGGCAAUGUGCAUCAGACGUCAACAACAUGAAGCUGAUGAGAAACCGCUGAGAUGCAGAAGAUCGACAAUGUUUAUUUGUUCACAGGUGUGCAGGACAACUAAUUUAAGCCAUAUAAGCACAUGUCAAAUAACAACUGAUCUCGUACAGUUCAUCUCGACGAAUUGAAGCCUCAUCCAGAAGUUCCUUAUAGAAAUGCACGAAGAACAUUGAAUUAAAUUUGUCUGACGACUCAUUUUCCACCAGAGGUCAUUGAAACACACAAAGUGGCAAUCUACAACUGUACAGUACUCAGUUUUAUAGGAAUGAUGGAUUUGAUGAUGCAGUGUAUAGAAAUCUCUAUGAAGGGGAUGACAAGGUUUACAGAAUUGACUAUUUGCAGGAUUACGUGGUUGCCUGACAGUUACCCCAUCAUUGUGUGUUUGUAAAUAUUGGUAGCUACAAUUAUGAUAUGGUGAUAACAGAUGGGAUGAUGUUGUCGUGGUAUCUUCCUCACUAAGCAAAAGACAUGUAAGCUUUUUUCACGUCUGCAACAACAUGUAAAGCAACAUUCCAAAGUUUGAACAUUCGCGUGUGAUGUACUGGAACACUCAAAUCGUACCGGAGUAGCCCACCGUGAAAGUAAAACUUGACUGAUUUAGUUGGCCGAAACUUGCAGAGAAUAUUGUUUUACGGAUAUGUAAAUUGGUAAAUAUGCCAAAAUUAUUCCAAAAGCUUCAAUAAUGAUGAACAGUUAUCAAAUUGAAAUUUGACACAUGAUCCAACCGCUAAAAUGAUAGCACAAUACAUCAACUUGAAAUUUUAUGUAUGGAAUUUAUGUCAAUUUCAUUGAAGAAUUGGUAUUUAUUUUUAUUCAAAAAUUACAAAUAUACCUAGUAACUUAUAUACAUGCCCGUUAUGGAUUGCCACCCUACUAUUCCGUUGACAUAUAAGGUGACACUGGGUUUACUGUUUUAUACGAUGAUUCAAAUGUCUUGUAUGUGUAUGUAAUAUGCUAAUUAAUGUAAUUAUCAAUAUAAAUCAACUACUG